GAUCAUUACCGAGUUUACAACUCCCAAACCCCUGUGAACAUACCACUUGUUGCCUCGGCGGAUCAGCCCGCUCCCGGUAAAACGGGACGGCCCGCCAGAGGACCCCUAAACUCUGUUUCUAUAUGUAACUUCUGAGUAAAACCAUAAAUAAAUCAAAACUUUCAACAACGGAUCUCUUGGUUCUGGCAUCGAUGAAGAACGCAGCAAAAUGCGAUAAGUAAUGUGAAUUGCAGAAUUCAGUGAAUCAUCGAAUCUUUGAACGCACAUUGCGCCCGCCAGUAUUCUGGCGGGCAUGCCUGUUCGAGCGUCAUUUCAACCCUCAAGCACAGCUUGGUGUUGGGACUCGCGUUAAUUCGCGUUCCUCAAAUUGAUUGGCGGUCACGUCGAGCUUCCAUAGCGUAGUAGUAAAACCCUCGUUACUGGUAAUCGUCGCGGCCACGCCGUUAAACCCCCAACUUCUGAAUGUUGACC
rnacentral:misc_RNA from 1 species